rnacentral:misc_RNA from 1 species
GAGAGAGAGAGAGCGAGAUAAGAGAGAGAUUCACAUGUGGGUUUACAUUUAUGGUUUGCAGUGAAUUAAAUUAGUCUUAAAAAUUUGAGAUGGGGAGAGUAAAUGAACGAAGUAUAAAUCUAAAUAUUUUUUGCAGUUCCUUAAAAUUAUGAUCUAAGUUGGCAUCACUUAAUUUUUCACUAAUAUUAUGGUUUGAAUCCAGCUAAUUAAUCCAGUUUUUGAGUUUUGCAUUUCUUUCUUUCCUUUCCUUUCCUUUU